rfam:Arabidopsis thaliana chromosome 4, complete sequence.
GCCGCUAUGGUGAAAUUGGUAGACACGCUGCUCUUAGGAAGCAGUGCUAGAGCAUCUCGGUUCGAGUUCGAGUCCGAGUAGCGGCA